rnacentral:snRNA from 1 species
GUCUCUUCGGAGACAUCCGAUAAAAUUGGAACGAUAUAGAGAAGAUUAGCAUGGCUCCUGCGCAAGAAUGACACCCACAAAUCGAGAAAUGGUCCAAAUUUUU